rnacentral:rRNA from 1 species
GACAGAGGAUGCAAGCGUUAUCCGGAAUGAUUGGGCGUAAAGCGUCUGUAGGUGGCUUUUUAAGUCCGCCGUCAAAUCCCAGGGCUCAACCCUGGACAGGCGGUGGAAACUACCAAGCUGGAGUACGGUAGGGGCAGAGGGAAUUUCCGGUGGAGCGGUGAAAUGCGUAGAGAUCGGAAAGAACACCAAUGGCGAAAGCACUUUACUGGGCUAUUACUGACACUGAGAGACGAAAGCUAGGGUAGCAAAUGGG